CCCAUUUUGAAACACUUAUGAUGAAAUGCUUAUGUGUAUGUAGGAGAGAUUUAUUAUCCCACUUUACAGAUGAAGAAAUCAAGGGUAAUAAAGUUCAAUAAAUCCAAGAUCAUGCUAUCAGAAAACAGUGAAACCAUGAUUCAAACCCAGUUCUGAUCUAAUUUCUACCUUACCAUGCAUUCAAGUCUCUCUGAGUCUAUGUGUAGAAUUUUAUAGUGGGGUUGUCUAGCCAGAAUACACUUACUAGAUUCUAUAAUUACUAGCUUCUAGGACUUGGCCCUUUACUUAGUUUUAUGUGUCGGAAUUUCCUAGUCUGUUGAAUGGAGAAAAUAAAAAUGUUUACCUCAAAAACUUUGAUAAGGAGUCACUGACUUAAUGCAUGGGAAAGAGCUUAGAACAGUGUUGAGCAUACAGUAAAUGUUCGAUGAAAUUGUGUUAAUUGGUAGUAUUAGCUCUUACUCAUGGAUCAUACCAGAGAGAUGUCUCAGUUUUGCUUUUACUCAUUAUUUCAUUAUAGACAAAAAGAUAGUUUUAAAUAAAUACUUUGUUUUGCUUUUAGUUUUCAGUUUCCAUAUUUGUACUUGAAUUAUUUUCCCUACUCUUGUCCGUUGAUUGAUUACUUUAGGUGAAGUAUAGAGUACAUCUUGGUAAGAUUGUUUAUAAUCUUUGUUUCACCAGGAAACCUUUUUUAGCAAUAUAGAUAGAAACAGUGCUGCUUUCACUGCAGUGGAGGGUAGUGACUGAUUCCUGGCCCUAAAUCUGUCCCUAUCUUUUAUUAUCCAUGGGGAACCCUGCAUGUCUACCUGACACAGGCUGAAAGUUACCAAUCCACAAAUGCUCAACAAUACACACCGAACAGUAAGAGACAAGUACUAUUCUCAAUUUAUGUGGUCGACCUGUGUCUUGUUCUUCCUUCCGAUCUCAAACUCCCUCCUCUCAGUCCCCAUUCCACAGCGACUGGUGACUGUUCUGUUUAACUGGCAGGGUCUCCAGUUCCGCACCAGUGAGUUGGAAGAGAUGGGAGCCAUGUUCUGCUUGGGCCUCCUCAUCCUGGAGCUCAAAUCUGUAAGCUGCAGCCAUCAGCUCCUGACUCAAGCUGCAGCUCUGCUGAAUGCUGAGGAAGACACUCUGGACCACCACCUCCAGCGUGUUUUGAAGAAGCUUCCUCAUAAAGAAGUCUCAGCUAAAGGAUCCAUCUCAGAGGGAAUCUCUUCAAUUUCCAAAAUAGCCAUAGCCAUUUCAUAUAUGUCUUGUUCCUAUGAACUCUGCUGCUUUAUUCCCUGUAUUUUAAUUUUCAUAAUAUGAGGAUCUUUAGUUUACAUCCUUAUAUAUUCAUUUUUUACCAUUUUAUACUGCUUAUGAUCUCCAAAAAAGCAAGAACAAGUCUUGUCAUGUUCACGUUUAUGUCUAGCCUAGCACCUGAAACUCCUUCUCCAAACAAAUAUUAUUAAAUGAUUGAAUAAAUGAACUAAAUAAUGCAUAAAAUAAGUAUUCUUAUGUAUUUCACAGUUUGUACACUCUUAACAUCUCUUCAAUGAAUACAACUUUCAUUAAAUACUGAGCCAAAAGUUUUCAGUGCCAAAGAGCUGAGAAUGUUCUUUUACCAAUUGGUUACUUUGUGAGUCAUUUGUUUUCUUUAACUUACAUAUUGUUUUAAUUUUUAUUUUAUUAACAUGUGUUCAAUAUCAAUAGGGUUGAUUGAUAUUUUAAUGCAAACAUACAACAUACAUAGGAUCAAAUAAUUAUCAUUCAUAUGAAAAAAAUUAUCAAACUAUAGCCCCUAGACCAAAAUAUGCACUCCCCAUGGUUUUAUAAAUAAAGUUUUAUUGGAAUACAGCCUUGCUCACUUGCUUACAUAUUUUCUAUGGCAGCCUUUGUGUCACAAAGCUGUGGAAGAAACAAUGUGACUCUCAAUGUUGAAAAUAUUUACUAUUGGAUUCUUUAUAGAGAAAAGUUUACUGACCUUGGCACAAGGCAGUAUAUAUUCAAAGAUGAAAACUAUGUGAGAAACAAUGCUGCAAAAUAAGAAAGGGAAAUGAGAGGAUUGACUGAUGUUUUCUUUGGGUAAAAUCUAGGAAAUUUGACAGUGAUCAUAUUGGAAGUAUAUACUCAAAUGGUGUUGGAUUGAAGCAUGAGAGAGGCAUCCACAUUUCAGAGGGUAGGUCAGAAAUGAGAAGUCUACUGGCUGAAGAAUAAACUUCCCUUAUAAGCUAGCUCUGUAUUCUUUUGCUACAAGACAUAGUUCUCUUCUCUUCCACUUUACAUGGGAGUUCCUACUCCUACCUCUGUUAGAGUCUCCUGUCUGUGAAAUCUGAAGUGUAGGGAACACUGCCAUCUUCAAGAUGAAUGGUUUCCUCCAUUGAAUUACAAUUACAAGUUUUAGUCAGUUCAUUAUUCCAUCUAGUUUUUGGGUCCUGACAGUUACAUGUAGAAACUAAUUGAAUUGGCUUUACCUCAAGGCAUUCCCGUAAGAUCUUACCUUGCUAUGUGGGAAUUUUUUUGGCUCACUGACCAAUUUAGCCUUAAUUUCCCUGUUCCAACAUAAAAACAAUUAUUUUCCUAUUUGUCCUCUGGAAUAUUUUACAUUCUUUUCCUAUCCUUUUUCUAUUCUUUCCAUUAUUUCCAUUCUUU
rnacentral:lncRNA from 1 species